rnacentral:rRNA from 1 species
GAUGAACGCUGGCGGCGUGCCUAACACAUGCAAGUCGAACGGAGUCAUGAAUUGGAAGUUUUCGGAUGGAAGAGACAUGACUUAGUGGCGGACGGGUGAGUAACGCGUGGGUAACCUGCCGUAUACAGGGGGAUAACACUUAGAAAUAGGUGCUAACACCGCAUAAGCGCACGGGAUUGCAUGAUCUUGUGUGAAAAUCUCCGGAGGUAUACGAUGGGCCCGCGUCUGAUUAGCCAGUUGGCAGGGUAACGGCCUACCAAAGCGACGAUCAGUAGCCGGCCUGAGAGGGUGGACGGCCACAUUGGGACUGAGACACGGCCCAA